rnacentral:rRNA from 1 species
UUGUUGGUGAGGUAAAAGCUCACCAAGGCUUCGAUCAGUAGCUGGUCUGAGAGGACGACCAGCCACACUGGGACUGAGACACGGCCCAGACUCCUACGGGAGGCAGCAGUGGGGAAUUUUGGACAAUGGGGGCAACCCUGAUCCAGCCAUGCCGCGUGAGUGAAGAAGGCCUUCGGGUUGUAAAGCUCUUUCAGCCGGAACGAAACGGUCACGACUAAUACCUGUGACUAAUGACGGUACCGGAAGAAGAAGCACCGGCUAACUACGUGCCAGCAGCCGCGGUAAUACGUAGGGUGCGAGCGUUAAUCGGAAUUACUGGGCGUAAAGCGUGCGCAGGUGGUUUUGUAAGUCAGAUGUGAAAUCCCCGGGCUUAACCUGGGAACUGCGUUUGAAACUGCAAGGCUAGAGUGUGGCAGAGGGGGGUGGAAUUCCGCGUGUAGCAGUGAAAUGCGUAGAUAUGUGGAGGAACACCGAUGGCGAAGGCAGCCCCCUGGGUCAACACUGACGCUCAGGCACGAAAGCAUGGGGAGCAAACAGGAUUAGAUACCCUGGUAGUCCAUGCCCUAAACGAUGUCAACUAGUUGUCGGGUCUUAACGGGCUUGGUAACGUAGCUAACGCGUGAAGUUGACCGCCUGGGGAGUACGAUCGCAAGAUUAUAACUCAAAGGAAUUGACGGGGACCCGCACAAGCGGUGGAUUAUGUGGAUUAAUUCGAUGCAACGCGAAAAACCUUACCUACCCUUGACAUGUAUUGAAACCCACAGAGAUGUGGGUGUGCCCGAAAGGGAACGAUAACACAGGUGCUGCAUGGCUGUCGUCAGCUCGUGUCGUGAGACGUUGGGUUAAGUCCCGCAACGAGCGCAACCCUUGUCAUUAAUUGCCAUCAUUUAGUUGGGCACUUUAAUGAGACUGCCGG